GCAACUUGUUUGAGUCUGGCCACUUGCUCACCAUCUGGAACUACUUCAUAUUCUUAUUACCAAAAAAAAAAUGAAAGAAAGAAAGAAACGAAAAAGAGAAAAAGGAUGAGUAACGCUGCUGGGUUGCCUUUUCUUUUGUACGUUUUGCUGGGUGCUUAACCCACCCAGGGCUCCCUCCCACCUGGAGGCACCCUACCAGCCACAGUUUAUCUGACACUCCGUUCGACUACAGAACUACUCCCUCGAAAUAUAAGACAGAGAACUACGCUGGAAAUUAGGAGACCUGAGCUGUAUCCCAGCUUCUGGCUCACUUCUGACACAAACCAUUCAACUUCCUUGAGCCCUGGAUUCCCGGAUUGUGAAACUAAGGAGCUGGGUGAUGUGAUUAUCUGCUGCUGUCUAUGGUCAGCUGAAAUUAGUGAGAGGUGGCUGCAUCUCUGCUUUACAUGUCUUCUCAUUCUGGUACCUAGGAUGAAAGAAUUGCCCUUACAUGAAGUGCUACAUUCUCCAGGCAAAGCUAUAAAUCCUGGAGAGAAUGCAUUGAGCAGCUAUUUGAAGACUAUGAAGAGUAAAGAGCAGACCAAUUAGAGAAGAUAAGAUCAAACUGGCAAUGUGAAUAUUUUGGACAUUUCAUGUAAAUGGAAUCAUACAAUAUAUAGGCUUGAGUUUGGACGGAAGUUGGUGUGGCUAUAAAAGGGCACAUGAGGAAUCCUUGUUGUGACGAAAAAGAUUGGUGAUGCUGAUUUGAACUACAAACAAAUUCUGACUAGAAUACUGGACUACAAAUCCCUUUGUGAAGGAAGGAGCCAUAUUAUUAAUUUGUCUGUUCUUCAUAUUUAACUCAUAUACAGAAGUGCUACUCAUGUAUGUCAAAUGAAAGAAGAAAAAAGAAAAGGAAGAAAGGGGGAGAGGAACCAAAAGAAAAAUUAGAAAGUGUAAAGGAUUGAGGAAAAAAGAAAAGAUUCGUGUAAGAAAAAGCUAAUUGACUGGCUAGCACAAGGAGCAACAUCUAGAAUGUAGUAGGAGAUGAAGAAAAUUAAGCACAGGAGAGAAAGCUGUCAUGAUUUGCCUUAAACCUCUAAUAGAAGCUGUAGUUAUGCUAAGUAGCAAUGUAGUUGCCCUGCCAGAUCUUGACCUAAAAGCCAGCUGGCUGAGGGGAAGGUGAUUGCCUCAGAAGGAAAAGGAUGAUAUAUGUGCGCAUGGAGCUAAGAGGGAAAGAGACCUGUAUUUUCGUCUCCACUCACCCACCUUCCAGGAACGAAGGUGUAUCACUUGGCCUCUGAUGCCGUGUUUAUAGUAUGGAUAAAAAAUCGUAUCACUAUGAAGACAAGACCUUAAAUCAAAUAAUAUUAAAGAUCUCUU
rnacentral:lncRNA from 1 species